UCAAGCGAACAAGGGCGCAGGGCGAAUGCCUUGGCACUGGGAGCCGAUGAAAGACGUGAUAAGCUGCGAUAAGCUUCGGGGAGCUGCAAAUAAGCAUUGAUCCGGAGAUUUCUGAAUGAGGAAACUCACCUGGGUUCAUACUCAGGUACGUUAUACUGAACUUCAAAAUAGGUAUAUCGAGGGAACCGCCUGAACUGAAACAUCUAAGUAGGGCGAGGAAGAGACAUCAAACGAGAUUCCGUAAGUAGUGGCGAGCGAACGCGGAAGAGGGCAAACCGAGAGUAGAAAUACUUUCGGGGUACGGACUGCUUUUAGGACUUAAUCUGUUAACCGAACGGCAUGGGAAGGCCGGUCAGAGAGUGUGAGAACCACGUAGGUGAAAACGGAGAGAGCUGCGCAGAUUCCAGAGUACGGCCAGACACGUGAAACCUGGUCGGAAGAUGGGGGGACCACCCUCCAACCCUAAAUACUACCCAGUGACCGAUAGCGUAUAGUACUGUGAAGGAAAGGUGAAAAGCACCCCGGGAGGGGAGUGAAAAAGAACCUGAAACCCUGUGCCUACAAGCACCUAGAGCACGUCAAUGUGUGAUAGGGUACUUUUUGUAGAACGGUCCGGCGAGCGAUUGUAUGCAGCAAGGUUAAGGACUUAAGGUCUGGAGCCGAAGCGAAAGCGAGUUUGAAAAGGGCGUUAAGUUGCAUAUAAUGGGCCCGAAACCGGGUGACCUACCCAUGGUCAGGUUGAAGUGGAAGUAAAAUUCCAUGGAGGACCGAACCGACCUCCGUUGAAAAGGCGGCGGAUGAACUGUGGGUAGCGGAGAAAUUCCAAUCGAACCCGGAGAUAGCUGGUUCUCCCCGAAAUAGUUUUAGGACUAGCCUCAAGUUAGAUACCUGGAGGUAAAGCACUGAAUAGCCUAGCGGCCGAGAGGUUAGCGAAGCUUAUCAAACUCAGAAUGCCAGAGUAUUGAUGCUUGGGAGUCAGACAGUGUCAGAUAAAUGUCAUUGUCAAAAGGGAAACAGCCCAGAUCUACAGCUAAGGUCCCAAAGUCAGGUUAAGUGGAAAACGAUGUGAAGAUACGCAGACAACCAGGAUGUUGGCUCAGAAGCAGCCACUCAUUCAAAGAGUGCGUAAUAGCUCACUGGUCGAGCGUCUUUGCGCGGAGAAUUUAACGGGGCUAAACCUGACACCGAAGCUUAGGCAAUACAGCAAUGUAUUGGGUAGGGGAGCGUUGUAUACGCGGUGAAACAGUAGCGCAAGCGGCUGUGGAGUGUAUAGAAGUGAGAAUGCCGGAAUGAGUAGCGCGAAUGCAGUGAGAAUCUGCAUGGCCGAAAGCCUCAGGUUUCUGGAGGAAGGUUCGUCCGCUCCAGGUUAGUCGGGAGCUAAGGUGAGGCCUAACGGCGUAGCCGAUGCACAGACGGUAGAGAUUCCGUCACCACCAAAAGAGUUAAGCACAGGGACACAUUUGAAGUCUCAGAGCCGGGUGUUGGUUCCGGUAGAGAUCGAGGGAAAUUAGUACCGAAGUCUGGGAUGGAAGAUGGCGAGAAAAGCUGUGUGUAUUUCUGAGGUGCCCGUACCGCAAACCGACACAGGUAGGUAGGAAGAAGAUUCUAAGGCCAACGGGAGAAGGGUUGUUAAGGAACUCGGCAAAUUGACCCCGUAACUUCGGGAGAAGGGGUGCUCCAGAGAUGGAGCCGCAGAGAAUCGGCCCAAGCAACUGUUUACCAAAAACACAGGUUUGUGCUAAAUCGAAAGAUGACGUAUACGAGCUGACGCCUGCCCGGUGCUGGAAGGUUAAGAGGAGAUGUGCAAGCAUUGAAUCGAAGCCCCAGUGAACGGCGGCCGUAACUAUAACGGUCCUAAGGUAGCGAAAUUCCUUGUCAGGUAAGUUCUGACCCGCACGAAAGGCGUAAUGAUUUGGGCACUGUCUCAACAGCCCGCCCGGCGAAAUUGUAGUACCGGUGAAGAUGCCGGUUACCCGCGACAAGACGGAAAGACCCCAUGGAGCUUUACUGUAGCCUAAUAUUGGGUUUCGAUGUUGCAUGCACAGGAUAGAUGGGACACUGGGAA
rnacentral:rRNA from 1 species